GACGAACGCUGGCGGCGUGCUUAACACAUGCAAGUCGAACGGUAAGGCUCCAGCUUGCUGGGGUACACGAGUGGCGAACGGGUGAGUAACACGUGGGUGACCUGCCCUGCACUUCGGGAUAAGCCUGGGAAACUGGGUCUAAUACCGGAUAGGACCGCACCGUGAGGGUGUGGUGGAAAGUUUUUUCGGUGUGGGAUGGGCCCGCGGCCUAUCAGCUUGUUGGUGGGGUAAUGGCCUACCAAGGCGGCGACGGGUAGCCGGCCUGAGAGGGUGGACGGCCACAUUGGGACUGAGACACGGCCCAGACUCCUACGGGAGGCAGCAGUGGGGAAUAUUGCACAAUGGGCGGAAGCCUGAUGCAGCGACGCCGCGUGGGGGAUGACGGCCUUUGGGUUGUAAACUCCUUUCACCAUCGACGAAGGGUUUCUGACGGUAGAUGGAGAAGAAGCACCGGCUAACUACGUG
rnacentral:rRNA from 1 species